ACGCCGCUCGAUUUUUCCAUAUAUAGUCAUCAUUGCCAAACCCUAGAAUCUACACAUGCCGACUCCAUUCUUCUUCUUCUUCUUCUUCUUCCCAUCCAGAGCCAUAGGACUACUAUCCCUCGUCUGCAUAUCCUUUUUGGUUCUUUUAUCCUCUCCAAUCUCCUAGAUUUAUUGCUACCUUCGCUACUCGGUCUUCUGUUUUUUUCUUUCUGCAGAAUUCCUUCAUCGCUUUUCGAGUUAGCUACUAGAACACCGCCCCCAACCCCGUCCAACACAUCUCCGUUUCGGUCAGCUUCUUCCAAUCCUCAAAUGAUUAUCCUCGAUCUAUGUUCGACAUGAUAUGUACAGUUUUAGCAUUGUGAUUAAGUGUUGUUCCAAAUGUACCUCACCAGGAUUAAGUUGCAGUCUAUAUGGCUUCAAACGAUCAUGUGUUACAUUUGGCAACAACACUUGAUCACCAUGCCAAAUGUACCUGAACCUGAUGUGUGCAACUUUAGUACACUUUUCAAAAUAUUUAUCGUUCCCAAGGCAACUCUCAAAGAGAGUUGAGAAGGUAAUGAAUAUAUGUACAAAACUAUGAUUAAAAACAAAAGCAUAGGGAUGUUUCUUUGCAAAAAUACUAGAUCGAAAGGCUUGUAAACCCGAUCGUGGUCAUCAUUGAUAGUCUUUGUAAGGACAAAUUCUUAAUUUGAUUCAUGGACAUUUUAUUUUCUGUGGUGCUCUUUGUUGUUUUACGAUGUGGAUGGCAUAUCUGGGUUUUUAAAUGUAUGCGUCGACUGUGUUCGCAUGUUUGUUAUGGUUUAGUUACUUCGGUUUGCCAAUAUCGAGAUUAGCAUUAUUAUGGCUUGUUCUUUGUUGUAAUCUUCCUACGUUUUCGAAGUUCUAAUUUUAAAUCUGCCCUCUAUACAUAAGCUAUUGAUUACUGGAGACUAAAAUUCUGGAAUCAAAUGGAGCGAGAAACAAUUGAUACAUGAUUGUGAGUAUACAUUUUAAAAGGGAGUUUUGGAAAAUAUAGCUUGAACCUUAAGUCAAUCAGAAAUGAAAUUCAAAUUGGUGAGAAAAUAGUCACCUAUUUGUAUAUGUAGGGAGUUUUCUAUUUUGUGUAACUUCAUGCAUUUUCCACCCAAAAAAAUAGUGUACUCAUCUACGAAAAUAGUCACCAUAGCUUUGGUGAUGGAGAGCAAAUUCUCUUGCAUUAGAGAGGGGUUUUCUACACUGGAUAUGCAUAUACUUGGAAAUUUUUGUUACUAGAAUUCAACAAUUUAAAAUGUAUCUGUGUAUAUGUGUUUCAGAGGAUACGGCAAAUUGACUUGUUUUAAUCACAUUUGUUUUUUUUUGUGUUAAACAAAGACUUUUUUGUAAAAACAAAAGAAAAUAAAUAUGAAUUUCCAAGUA